GUCUUGUUUAUUCAUAUAAAUUAUGUUCACUUCAUGUUUUUUAGGAUCCAACAUAUUGCAAAUUGAUCCUGUUUGAAUAUGCUGUCAAAAUGAAUCUGAAAAGACCUGAAUAUUCAAUGACCGGUGGAGAACAGAUGCGUCCAGUUUUCAUGUCUACUCUGGUUUUUGAUGGUAAAGUUUACAAAGGCGAAGAAGGCAGAAGCAAGAAGAUAGCAGAAUAGCUGGCUGCACGCGUUGCCAUUCAAUCACUCCUUGAAUUCGAUUCAGGAAUCCUCCAGCAAAUAAUCAAUUCCAAGUCCAGAGUUCAAGAUGCUGUACCUGAAGUAAAGAAUCCGAGCACUAACCAGAGCAAUUUACCAGCUCCAUCAACACCAGUAGUUUCUUCCGGGAAGGCAAAUGAUGUUUCUCAGUGAGAAUAAGCGAAAGCCUCAGACAAGUGACAGCACACAGAAAAAAUUGCGACGCUAUCUACACUUCCAAGGUUAAUCUUGAUGGGAUGCUGCCUUUUUCUUCGGUCCAAGAACAGUUUAGCUAUGCAUUAGAAAAUUAAAAAUUGGCUCUCUGGGUCCUUCAAACUUCUGUAAAUAUAUAUUCAGAUGAGAACUUUAAAUCAU